rnacentral:tRNA from 1 species
GAGAGGUGACUCAGUGGUUAAGGGCACUGAUUGCUCUUGAGGAGGUACCUGGGUUCAAAUCCCAGCACUCACA